rnacentral:misc_RNA from 1 species
UCAGUCCAUUGAAGAUUCUCAAGCUGACAUUGCCAUUCUCCUCAGGAAGCUAAUUCGAGAUGAAAUUAAAGCUGGGAAGUCUGACAAGGAGAUCUAUACAAAGCUUGAAGAUGAUUUUGGUGAAACUGUACUUUAUGCCCCAAAAUUUGAUAUGCAGACGGCUGCUAUAUGGCUCUCUCCGCUACUAGUUGCUGGUGCUGCUGGAGGUUUGUGGGCUUACAAGAAGCACAGACAGAAGACCAAUGUGCACAUUAUGGCUUUGAAUCUCGUUCGAGGAAUUCCCUUAACCCCAAAGGAGAAAGAAACCAUGCUCGAUGUCCUCACGCCACCUCCUGGAGGAACGUCUUCCUUGAGUUGGUGGAAAAGAUUGCUUCAGCAAUGAAAACUCUUUAACCUGUUAAUUGUCAUCACUUCCCUUGUAUUCUAUAUAUAUAUAUUUUUUUGGCUGGAAUAUCUCAAAUUGCCAGCUAGUCAAGAAACCACCCUAUCCAUGUCAUUUUGCAUUGGCGUUUUUGAAUUGGUCAUCCAUCAUCCUGAUUAUACAUUUUUCUAAGGGUAUUCCCUGAUAUAAGUUGUAUUGUACAAAAGGG